rnacentral:sRNA from 1 species
UAUAAGGUAAUUUCCAAUAUGUUUGUGA